rnacentral:rRNA from 1 species
GACGAACGCUGGCGGCGUGCUUAACACAUGCAAGUCGAACGGAAAGGCCCUGCUUUUGUGGGGUGCUCGAGUGGCGAACGGGUGAGUAACACGUGAGUAACCUGCCCUUGACUUUGGGAUAACCUCAGGAAACUGGGGCUAAUACCGGAUAGGAGCUCCUGCUGCAUGGUGGGGGUUGGAAAGUUUCGGCGGUUGGGGAUGGACUCGCGGCUUAUCAGCUUGUUGGUGGGGUAGUGGCUUACCAAGGCUUUGACGGGUAGCCGGCCUGAGAGGGUGACCGGCCACAUUGGGACUGAGAUACGGCCCAGACGCCUACGGGAGGCAGCAGUGGGGAAUAUUGCACAAUGGGCGGAAGCCUGAUGCAGCAACGCCGCGUGCGGGAUGACGGCCUUCGGGUUGUAAACCGCUUUCGCCUGUGACGAAGCGUGAGUGACGGUAAUGGGGAAAGAAGCACCGGCUAACUACGU